GAAUUCGCCCUUAGAGUUUGAUCCUGGCUCAGGAUGAACGCUGGCGGCGUGCUUAACACAUGCAAGUCGAACGAAGCACUUUAGUUGAUUUCUUCGGAUUGAUUCUAAAGUGACUUAGUGGCGGACGGGUGAGUAACGCGUGGGUAACCUGCCUCGUACAGGGGGAUAACAGUUAGAAAUGACUGCUAAUACCGCAUAACCCGCUAGGGUCGCAUGACCCAGACGGAAAAGAUUUAUCGGUACGAGAUGGACCCGCGUCUGAUUAGCUAGUUGGUGGGGUAACGGCUCACCUAGGCGACGAUCAGUAGCCGGUCUGAGAGGAUGAACGGCCACAUUGGGACUGAGAUACGGCCCAGACUCCUACGGGAGGCAGCAGUGGGGAAUAUUGGGCAAUGGGGGAAACCCUGACCCAGCAACGCCGCGUGAAGGAAGAAGGCCUUCGGGUUGUAAACUUCUUUUACCAGGGACGAAGGACGUGACGGUACCUGGAGAAAAAGCAACGGCUAACUACGUGCCAGCAGCCGCGGUAAUACGUAGGUUGCAAGCGUUGUCCGGAAUUACUGGGUGUAAAGGGCGUGUAGGCGGAGCUGCAAGUCAGAUGUGAAAUCCCGGGGCUCAACCCCGGAACUGCAUUUGAAACUGCAGCCCUUGAGUAUCGGAGAGGCAAGCGGAAUUCCUAGUGUAGCGGUGAAAUGCGUAGAUAUUAGGAGGAACACCAGUGGCGAAGGCGGCUUGCUGGACGACAACUGACGCUGAGGCGCGAAAGCGUGGGGAGCAAACAGGAAUAGAUCCCCUGGUAGUCCACGC
rnacentral:rRNA from 1 species